UACGUAGGGUGCGAGCGUUGUCCGGAAUUACUGGGCGUAAAGAGCUCGUAGGUGGUUUGUCGCGUUGUUCGUGAAAACUCACAGCUCAACCUGGGAAUUGCGCGCGAAACGGGGGUGCUUGAGUUCGGGAGAGGAGCGUGGAAUUCCCAGUGUAGAGGUGAAAUUCGUAGAUAUUGGGAAGAACACCUGUGGCGAAGGCGGCGCUCUGGACCGAGACUGACGCUGAGGCGCGAAAGCGUGGGAG
rnacentral:rRNA from 1 species